rnacentral:lncRNA from 1 species
AACUCCUCUCCUCUAUCGGUGCUCUCCCACCGGCCGACAGCCCCAUUCCUCUUCCUUCAAGUUGUCGACGCCGUAACCGCUCCGCAGCUCCAAGAACGGUGAGCCGUGAGCCGUGAGCCUCUCUCUCUCUCGCUCUCUCUUCUUCGUCCUCUUUUCCUCCGACGAAGACUAUUGUAUUCUUCGUCGGAACCCCUCCUUCCUUGGCGGCGCGGAGUCGCAGCGCCAGCUGGAGGCAGUUUUUUGAAGCGGGCCGGAUUGGAUUAUGGGGUUCGUGUUUCUACCCGUCAUGGAGUCGGGGCGGUAGUCGGGGCAGAUCCACUCCGUACGCGUCCCCCCCCCCCACACCUGGUUGGAGCCACGAAGGGGUCGUAGGGUUCUGUGAUUUGUGCUCCAUUUUCACCCGAUGUCGUCGGGCGAGAAGGCUCCCGCCGAGGUCGGCACGAGCGGUAAAAGCAAGCCCGUCGCCAAUGUUGACGACAAGGUCGUCGCCGAUGUCGAUCCCAAAAGCGUUCCUCCCGAGGUUGAGGUUACCUUCUUAUCUCCGGUUCCUUCUCUCUUUCUCCCCAUUCUUGGGUUUUUUUUUUUUUUUUUUUCUUUCUUUCCACUUGAAUUUAUUUAUGAUGCAUCAGCGUUAGGGUUCCACUGCUUCAGAUUGUCUGCGGCUACUUGUGUAGGGAUUAUUUCUACUAGUUAUAUGAAGGGUGUGUGUGUGUGUGUGUAAACGGGUUAGGACUUAGGAGUGUAUAUAUAGUAGGGCUACAAUGAAUGGAGAAACGGCUCGGGGUUUGGCUGGAUGCUUUCAUUAUACUGAUUAUGUAUUUUGUUGCAGAAGCAAAACUUAGUGCAAGUGCCAUUAGAGAUUUAUAGAGUAGGGUGUCACGGGUCAAUCGUUGGGGCUCGACCGUGAUGCUCUUGGGGGCCACGGGGCUUUAAUUUUGGUAGAUAUCCUGCUCAGACUAGAAUCAUGGUUGAUGGAAAAUAGAGCAUCACUAUCCACUAUAGGAGGGAAUUUAGAGAGUGAGACCCCUCGACGCCUCUCCUAUAUCUUCUUCCUAUGGAUAGAUUGAGGAUAUUUCUAAAGAGAGAAUAUUAAAGAUUGAAUACAUCGACGGAUUUUAGCAAUUAGUUAAAAGUAUUUCAAUGCUUCUAUUAUAUUACUCCCUAAUUUUUGGAAGGGCUAAGAAAUAAAAUGCUUUUCUACAAAAAUGAAUCCUCUUGAUGUUUAAGGGUUACUCGUGCCUAAGGAUAAACUUUCGAAAAGAAUUUUAAUUUUCCAAUCGCAGAGUUGAUGGAAAGAGCAAAUGGUUGGUUGAUCUUCUAGGUUACAAAGUAAAAAAAAUGCCUUUCACUAUUUAUCUUGCCAAUGUCUAUUUAGAAUAGGUUCUGAUUAGGGAGACACUAAUUCCUGAGUUUAAAUGCUUGAGUAAACAAAUGCAUUCUAGUACUUAGCGUGGAUUCGGGUGUUGAAAUGGAGAAUUGUCAUAGGAAGGCUUUGCUUGGUUUUGGGGAGCUCUUUGGCCAUCUUUUUCCCAACAAUAGAUCAAAAGAUAAUGCAACAAUGUUGAUAUGCACUUUCCCAAUAGUACAUAACAAAAUAAUGCGACGAUGUUGAUCAAUAUUUGAUACAGAAGCCAAGUUGCUGUUCAAGACUUCUAGGGAAAUUACAAUAAGAAUAUAGGAAGUUUUGUGAGCUUUUGGGGGCAAUCUAACCAAGGUUUAAAGUGCCGUGGCACGGGGGAGUGCCGUUAUGUCUCUGGCACGGUUCGGCACAGGUACGCUUGCGUGCCGACACGUGGCACGCUUGCGUGCCGAUAGAUACGCAUGAUCUCCUACUGGCACGUUUUGGCACAGACUUAUUUAAGUUUUUUUGGUUCCAAUAAACUCUUAUAAUGUUAUUUUGAAAGAUUUAAAUAAAUAAUUAUGAAUAUUUAUUAUGUAUACUUUGCUAUACUCAUCAAUUAAUAUGCAUGUAAGCUUUUUGUAAGUAAAAUAUAACUAUACUUGAUGUAGAAUAGAAAUUAAAAUACAAUAAUAAAAUCCACACGUAUAAUAAUUAUUUAAAUUUACAUCUUUACAUAGAGAUGACUUUUUAAUUCGACAUAGAUCGUCGCGCUUGAUCAUAUGGCAUAUUAUCAUCUGCAGAUACAAGAUUUAUUUUGAAAAUGUUGAUAUAAGUAUUGCUGGUAUUUGUGAGAAAGUUAUAUAUUCCUGAUAUUACAUCUAUAUUUUUUUAUUUUGUUAUUCUUUUAAAAAUAUCUGAUCAAAAUUUGUUUAGGAGAUCGAUUUUUGUUAUCUUGAUUCAUCGAAAGCUUCGCGGUGCGACAAAUUUUGACAAAAUAUUUUGUGAAGAAAAAAUGGAUGUCUGUGGUGGAAGCGGAGGGCUCGGGGCGACAGGGGGGCGAAGCCCCUGGCGGUAUGGAUCAGAUAUGUCAAUUAAAAAUUUGCUCAUAUAUUGAUAAAUAAAAAGUUAAAAAAAGACAUCCGCCAAAAAGCAAAACAAAAGUUGAAAAAAAGAUAACAAAGUGAAAAAAAGACAAUAUAGAUGGCCCGGCCGGGGCUCGAUACCCCAGAAAACAAAAGAAAAAAGAAAAAAGAAAAAACCAAAAAAAAAGGCAAAAAAAAAAGAAAAAAAAAAGCACGGCACGGCACAGUGCCGCGGCACCCUUGCGCGUGCCGCUUUGUCUCGAGCCAGGCACCCCCCCCCGCGUACCGUGCCCCUUUCUUAGGGGCACGGUACGUGCCGCACGGACGAGAUUUGAAACCUUGAAUCUAACCUUAUAUAGUGAAUGAUGAGUAAUAUUUGAGGUUAUAGUAACAGUGUAGAAACACUUUGAAAAGUUGUUACAAAAUGUUUAAUUAAUGGGCUGAAUUCACUUUGAAAAGUUGUUACAACAUGUUUAGUUGAUGGGCUGAUGAGGGGGUCGUUAGCCCCUAUGUGAAGUUUUGUGUAAGAUACCUGUGUUGGUCAAACUAAAGAAUUUUCUGUUGAGUGGCUUGGAAUAUAGAAUCCUGAAAAGAAUAACCUAGGGAUGAGAGGAUGGCUGGUGAAUACUUUUGUGUACCGUGUGCAGAAGGGGAAGAAAGCAUGCAACAUCUCUUUGUAGAUCGUUAAAUAGUAAAGGAAAUGUUAGGUGGCUAAAUGAAGGGUGUGUAGAGUGAGUGGAGAAAGUAGGUAGUGGUUAUAAUUUAGAGGAGGUCUUGAGACUUGGUUGUGGUUAUUAUACUACGGUUGGCCAGGAAGCGAUAGCCAAGACAUAAUAGUCAUGUUGCGCCGAUAGACCCACUACACCUAUGGAAAAGAAGCCUCUAUGGAUACAUAAUGUUAGAAAUUGAAGCAAACUUGAGUUAUUUGUAAUACUGACAUAUUAGGCAAAAUUUUUAACUAUUACAUUUCAUUUCAUAAUGUAAUGGAUGUUGAUUUCAAAUUUGUACAUAAUUGUGUAUGCAUCUAAGCAUUUGUCUCAAAUUAUUCUACUAGCAAAAGUGGAGCAACUGAGACUACUCUAGCUUGAUCAUGCUUGUCCAUGCCCAUUAAAACUCCCGUCGGUAGGUGGAUUUGAAAAAAGGUGUAACAAUAACAAGGUGAAAAAAGUCAAAGCAGUUUUCAAAUGGAUACAGCUAGCUGAAUAAGGCAAACUUUGUCUACUAGGUCUUUUAAAAGAAACAAAGGAUGUGAAUAAUAAAAAUAGGAUAAGAAUCUAUAGUAAUGUAAAAAGAUAUAGGGUACAAGAAUGCUACUAUUUAACCAAUACGAGUAAUACUUCUGAAUUGUCCAUAAUGUGUAUUAUAAUACUGUUCAUUUCCAUAAAUUAACACAUUCUGACCCAAUUCAGGUACUUGUCCUCUCAAACUGCAUACACAUUCGUCUCUAAUUCUCUAUGGGCUAGCAAUUUCUUAUUAGAUCUAAAUUUUCCCCUAUUGGUGAGCAAGCACCCUUCUAGACCACUUUUUUAGAGAGUAUGAAGUGGCAGCAAUAUCAUUUACCGUAUCAACUCUUGAGAAUUCCUGACACUACACCGAGACUUGACACGUUUUGCACAGACCGGUCGUUAGCUUAUGAUCCUUCACUGUAUAGAAUUUGGAAAUCUAGUUGCAAUCAGAUUAGUUUGAAAGCAAGAGAAGUUUCGGUACCCGCAAGGAUAUGGGUCCAAUUUACACUUGUUUUGUUCUUCAAGUCUCGCUUGCAUACUAGAGCUAGAUUACCAAUAAAUAGACUACUACGAGUCCAAAAUACAUUUCUUGUAUUGCCUUCUAGAAGGAGGACCUAUACAACUUCAAAUCCCAACACCUAGGUUUCAAAUUUUAAACUUUUGUCCAAAUUAAUUUCAAAUCUUUGCAGCUUAGUCUAAUACUUGUUUAGGGAUUUUUACUAUGGGAUGCCACAUUUAAUUUAUUUAUUAAAGCAGAGCAUCACAUUAUAUAUUUCUUGUGUUACUUGUUUUCUUUUGCUUGGAAGCCAAGUGAUCUAUCUUGCAUAUAUAAAGAUGGUGCUAGCAUUGUUAGAUCAAACUUUCUAAAUUUCUUAUGUUGUAUUCUCUUCUUUUAGAAGCGUCCGCUUAUUUAGAGGAGUUUCAAUUUAUUAUUUGGUUCUCGUGUUUUGGCGGUGUGCAUCUCAUAAAUUUUCUGCUAUGGUACUUGGCAUUGAAACACAUAACUUCAUGUUCUACAGCAACUUGAGCAACUGAGGCGGCGCCAGCAUGCACUAACAGGAGAAGUGGUACGCUAUCAGUUUUAAUGAUUCAUUAAUCAUUACUUCUCUUCUUAGAGCUUGUGAAAAGAAAUCAAUUGAAGGAGACAAUGAAGGAUGUCACUUUAUUGUAGAAUUUUUUACAGGAAGAAGAUACACGGUUGGAGACCACGCGUGUUAGAUGUGAGGCUUCCUUUUUUUUUUGCUUUUAUUUAUUGCAAUAAUACUUAAAGGAGUACAUAAAGAAGAUGCUUGAUUUGUUUCGUAUGUGUUUAAAGUUUAUUAAUAGUUUUUGUUUGCUUGCAGUGUUGAAUGUUCAAAAAAGGCAUGAAGCUUUGAAGGAUCGCCUUUCAAGGUAGAGGGUUCAUAUAGUUUGUUGAAAAUUAGUGUUGUGAGUUUCUAUGAUUCAUCAAUUAGUCCUUGAGUGAUAAUUUUC